rnacentral:rRNA from 1 species
UACGGGGGGAGCAAGCGUUGUUCGGAUUUACUGGGCGUAAAGGGCGCGUAGGCGGUCAGCACAAGUCAGUUGUGAAAUCUCCGGGCUUAACUCGGAAAGGUCAACUGAUACCUGUGCGACUAGAGUGCGGAAGGGGCAACUGGAAUUCUCGGUGUAGCGGUGAAAUGCGUAGAUAUCGGGAGGAACACCAGUGGCGAAGGCGGCUUCCUGGCCUGUUCUUGACGCUGAGGCGCGAAAGCUAGGGGAGCAAACGGGG